rnacentral:lncRNA from 1 species
AAAACCUAAGCAACCUUCAUCCAACCCAAAACUCAGGGCCUCCAUCCCCUGGACAGCCCAUGUCCCUCAGGACAGACUGGGGGCUCAGAUGUUUCUCAUAGACAAGGAAGGAAUCUUUGGAUUGGCCACUCCUGGAUUCCCUGGCUCGGAACACACAUUCAGGUGAAUCAGCCAUACAGCAUCAUUCUAAGGCCAUGCUCAAGUCAUUGCCAUCAGGUAUGCUGAGGAGCAUUGCAGCCAGGUGCCAGCAGCAGCAAUACAAUCUACAACUACAAAAAGAACAACAAACACAAUAAUGACGAAGCUCAUCCAAGCACUAGGGAGUAGAUCUUGGAUGCGCCAUGGCAGGCCUGUGGAGGAGGAGGGGGCAGCUCUCUGCAGGCCUGAAAUUCUGUUUUGUUCUCAAGAAAGGCCAUCUUCUGUGGCCAGUUGGCAAAGAAGUUUGCUGCACACCAUCAACGGGUGGAUGGUGAAUGCAUGUUGGCCUUGACUCUCUGCGGAAAUGGGGAUGCUGAAGAAGGCAUUGGCUAAAUCGAUAACAAAAUGUGAAGCAGCUGGGUUGAUCCCUUCAUCUGGUCAUCAGACACAUAGCCCUUCAGUGCUACACCACCUUAAAAAUGAAACCUGAACGACUGUCCUUGGUGUUUAUCUUGAUCUGGGUUGAUUUUCACCAGGCCACCCUGCUAACUGUUCCUCUUUGUCAGCUUAAGCACAGCUCAGCACAUUUCCAUCAAAUCCUGCCCUGUCCAGUGCCUUGCUUGGAACACUGAGUUAAGUAUUAAGAGGAAACAGAUAAAUGUGUUUGACCCAAAAGAACCUCCACGCAAAAGAAUUAAACAGUAGACAUAAUUCAGAUAUUUGAGAACUGAUUCAGGUCCAGCCUCAUGAGACAGUGAACACUUUUGUAAAACUCACUUACCGGAGUUUUGGUUUUUGGUUUGGACAUGUCUUCUUAAGUAUGGCCUUUGUUCCAUACUUAUGAUACUGACUCUUAACUUUUGAGAUUUUGCAGAUGUGUGGAAUGGCGUAGGAAAGUGAAAAGUCUAAUAUAAGAGAAGCACUGUUGUAAGUUAAAUGGAUGUAAUAAAAAGCAUUCUGCAUUUGAGAAUCUAGUAACUUGGUUGUUGCCUGGCUAGGGGCCAGGUUCGCAUAUCUUGUUAGAUAUGUGAGCCUAUUCAAGUUAUUACUUCAGCUUGCAGUGAAAUGAAUCAAUAUUAAAACCACAGAGAUUCCCACAGCAACUCAGCAGCUUAUCUAAUAACUUAACCUCACUCUCCUCAUUUUCUUCUUGAAACUAAUAUCUGCUGGUUCAUAAAACCGUUAUAUGCCUGCCUAUCUUGCAGCCUCCUUCUGAGGAACGUGUCUUGGGAGUUUGAACUGUGGUGCCUUCCCACCUACUGCCAGGGACCCUGUCAUCCUGACCAUAACAGUCUGGCCUGGACCUCUGGUCUUUGUUGGAACGAAAAGGAACUAUAAGGAAACUCAACAAUGAGGCAGCUUGGUGUGAGGCUGCCUAAGAGUAGAGUUCUAUAGUGAAAGGUGUCAUACUGGCCCAAACAUAUCAUCUCUCUUGGAAGCAGUGAAUGAGAAAUUCACCAGGGAGAGAAACAGGGAGUAAAAGAUGUGCUUGUUCUGAGGGAAGCAGAACACCACUUGGGAGAUGGGUUCUCAAUUAUUAGAGUGAAUUGAGCCAUUAUUUCUCUGAGGAGACUGUUUUAUAGUCAUCAUUCAUUCAUUCAUCCAUCAAAAGCUUGACAAAGCGAAUGUUUGUUGACAUCCUAGGCACUGUGGGGGACACAUCUGGGCUCAUUCUCAAAAGAAUUUAAGUGGACCUGGGCAAUGAGAUAUAAAGUUGAAUUUCAAUUUAGAAAUUAAGUGACAGAAAAUGAGUUGUGAUUUUUAGCUUUCCCAGGACCAUCCUCCUUUUGGGUUUUUCUUUUGAGUGUCAAACUUUUUUGAUACUUCCCAAACUAGUUUACUUAAAACCACAAACUGCUCCUCUCCCCUCCCACUUCCCCUGCCCUCCCUUCCCCUGCCCCCCAUCUUUCAUUACACUUAGCACCUUCUAACAUCGUGUAAUGCUUAUUUCUUUGCUGUAUUCACUGAUUGUCUAUCUCUACAAAAACUUCAGCUCCACAAGGACAGAGACUCUUGUCUGCUAACUGACGUAUUUCAAGUACCUAAAAGAGUGUCUAGAAUAUGACAGGACCUAAUGAAGAAGGUAGGACUAUUUUUCUCCUCUUUUUGGCUAAUGGACUCCAGGAAGAUGUACUAUUUCAGUGUCAGUGUCGGUGUCAGCUUUUUCUUUAACAUCAGCUGAUCAGAGGUCCUUUCUCACCACCACCUGGAAGAACUUUUUUCUUCUACUUGGGAAAUUCAGAGAAGGAAAUCUGCAGGAUUUGUGUUAGAAAUAAGACUAAAUAAGAACUAGAAAUACCAUUUGGCGCAGCAAUCCCAUUACUGGGUAUAUACCCAAAGGAUUAUAAAUCAUCCUACUAUAAAGACACAUGCACACGUAUGUUUAUUGUGGCACUAUUCACAAUAGCAAAGACUUGGAACCAACCCAAAUGUCCAUCAAUGAUAGACUGGAUUAAGAAAAUGUUGCACAUAUACACCAAGGAAUGCCAUACAGCCAUAAAAAAGGAUGAGUUCAUGUCCUUUGCAGGGACAUGGAUGAAGCUGGAAACCACCAUUCUCAGCAAACUAUCACAAGGACAGAAAACCAAACACCCGCAUGUUCUCACUCAUAGGUGGGAACUGAACAAUGAGAUCACUUGGACACAGGGCGGGGAACAUCACACACCGGGGCCUGUCAGGGGGUGGGAGACUGGGGGAGGGAUAGCAUUAGGAGUAAUACCUAAUGUUUAAAUGAUGAGUUGAUGGGUGCAGCAAACCCACAUGGCACAUGUAUACCUAUGUGUCAAACCUGCACGCUGUGCACAUGUACCCUAGAACUUAAAGUAUAAUAAUAAUAAUAAUAAAAAGACUAACUAAGUCAGACUUAACUUUGAGAGCCUAUUUUCUAAUUUCUAAUUAUCUUGACAAUCUUUUAAGUUAUGAUUCAUAUAAAAUGAGGACUAAGGAGCAGCCUCUUACCAAAAUUUGCUCAAGUUCACAUGGUUGAUUUGUGGAAGGGAUGGGACUUGACCAAGGUCUGCCUAGCUUUAAAA